UACGAAGGGGGCGAGCGUUGUUCGGAAUUACUGGGCGUAAAGGGCGCGCAGGCGGCUCUGAAAGUCAGAUGUGAAAGCCCCGGGCUUAACCUGGGAAUUGCAUUUGGGACUGCAAGGCUGGAGUACGGCAGAGGAGACUGGAAUUCCUGGUGUAGCAGUGAAAUGCGUAGAUAUCAGGAGGAAUACCGAUGGCGAAGGCAGGUCUCUGGGCUGAUACUGACGCUCAUGCACGAAAGCGUGGGGAGCAAACAGG
rnacentral:rRNA from 1 species